GAUGAAGAACGCAGUGAAAUGCGAUAAGUAGUGUGAAUUGCAGAAUGCAGUGAAUCAUCGAAUCUUUGAACGCACAUUGCGCCCCUCGGUAUUCCGUGGGGCAUGCCUGUUCGAGCGUCAUUUACCCCUCAAGCACUGCUUGGUGUUGGGCGUCUGUCCCGCUUCGCGCGCGGACUCGCCCCAAAGGUAUUGGCAGCGGUCGUGCCAGCUUCUCGCGCAGCACAUUGCGCUUCUCGAGGCGGUCGAUCGGCGUCCACGAAGCUCACCUCCACCGUUUGACCUCGGAUCAGGUAGGGAUACCCGCUGAACUUAAGCAUAUCAAUAAGCGGAGGA
rnacentral:misc_RNA from 1 species